rnacentral:misc_RNA from 1 species
UGACGUAGAGGUUGGUGCUUUGUGGAUAGUACAUUUUAUACAAUUUCGUGUAAAUUUUCUCUCAGUUAUUUGUGCUGCGAAUUAUUUACAGCAUAAGUGUUUAACACUUUGCAAAAAUGGCAGACUCAGAUGAUGAAUAUGAUAGAAAGAGGCGAGAUAAAUUCAGAGGUGAGAGGACAGAAUCAUAUUCACGGGAACGAAGAGAAGAUCGUAGACGAGAUGAUUGGGUUGAUAGAGAGUGGUCCAGUCGUCCUAGGCAGCGGCCUGAUUAUCGGGAAUAUCGAGGUGGAGGAAGUGGAGGACGUGAUCGUUACAGUCCUCCAAGAUCCCAAGAUAUGGCACCUCCUAUGAAGAGAAUGCGAUUUGACUGGGAUGAUAGACCGAGAUAUGGUGGACAUGAUUAUUAUGGUGGAAGUGGUAGUGGUGGUGGUGGUGGUGGCGGCGGUGGUGCUGGUGGCGGUGGCGGCGGCGGUGGCGGCGGCGGUGGCGGUGGAAGUUCUUGGAGUCCGGAUCACUAUCCGCCUCCUCACCAUAGCAACCAUCACUAUGGCAACCAUAGUAAUAGCAGCAGUCGGGAGGUAGCUGGAAAUUUCAGUAAUUCAAAUGUUGAAACCCAGCCACCUAUGAUGUCAUUCAAAGCAUUUCUUGGCACUCAAGAAGACACCAUUACUGAUGAGGAAGCUAUUAAACGCUACAAUGAGUACAAAUUGGAAUUCAAGAGACAGCAGCUCAAUGAGUUUUUUGUCGCCCAUAAGGAUGAAGAAUGGUUCAAAAUAAAAUAUCAUCCUGAGGAAUCAAUAAAGAGAAAAGACGAGCAAGUAUCGGCACUUAAGAAACGCGUACAAGUUUUUCUGGACUUGCUCGAAACGGGAGAAAUAGACAAAGUGUCCGUUGAUGCCGAUCAAGCAGAUAUCUUGUUACGUCUUUUAGAUGCAGUGGUUAUCAAAUUGGAAGGAGGAACGGAAGAAGAUUUGCAAAUUUUGAAUGUUAAGCCACCUAAGCUGUUUAUAACAAAAGAUAUCUCAAAGGAGAAAGAAGAUAACAAGACUAAAUCUUGUAUGGAAAAGAAACCUGAAAGCAGUGACGAAAACAAGAUGGACAAUUCACAGCGUGAAGAGAAAGGUUCGAAAAAUGAUCAGAAUGCUGAUGCAGAAGUGAAAAGCGCAGAAAAAGAUGGAAAUGCAGUAUCUGAUUCGGACAAAACGAAAGAAAGCGACGAAUGUAAAGACACAGAAGAAACUGCUAAUGAAGACAAGUCACCAGACAAAUCAAGGAAACGUAAACGUACUAACAGCAACAGCAGCAGCAGCAGUAGCAGCAGCAGCAGCAGUUCUUCCGGUAGUGACAGCAAUAAACCGGAAGCAGAGACUUCUGCUAAUGAGAAAGUGGAGGCCAAUAAUGAACAAGUCGACGAAGGAGAGGCUAAAGAAGAAAAUCAAGAAAGUAAAACUGAAGCGGAAACUACAAAUAAUAAGAAAUCCACGAUCGAACCAGAAGCGGUGAUCGAUUUGGCUAGUGAAGAUAAAGAAAAGGAACCCAGAGCUCUGCACAAAACGAGCAGCAUCUUCCUUCGCAAUUUGGCGCCGACUAUCACUAAAGCGGAGGUGGAAGCGAUGUGCAAGCGAUUCCCAGGAUUCUUACGCGUAGCUAUAGCAGAUCCGCAACCAGAGAGACGAUGGUUCCGUCGCGGUUGGGUUUCGUUUGAAAGACAAGUGAAUAUUAAAGAAAUUUGCUGGAGUUUGAAUAACAUCCGAUUACGUGAUUGUGAGCUUGGUGCAAUAGUAAACAGAGAUCUAUCACGACGUAUUCGGUCGGUGAAUGGUUUAACAUCUCACAAACAAAUUGUCAGGCAUGAUAUUAAACUCAGUGCCAAAAUUGUCCACAAUUUGGAUAAUAGAGUAGGAUUAUGGAAGGAAGAGAAGAAGAGUGACAGUGCAUUGAAGCAGGAAGAAAACAAAGAAAACAAGACUGUUCAAAGUAACGACGAAGUUGAGCAAGCGGCUUUUGGAUUGUCAUCAAAAAAUCCAGUAUUGAAGAAUAUAACUGAUUACCUGAUAGAAGAAGCUUCGGCCGAAGAGGAAGAAUUGCUAGGUAUGUCAGGUGAUCAAGAGGAAGGUCAGUUGAGCGGCGACGGAGACAGCUCAAUCGAAAGAGAUCCAAUUCUAAUCAAGGUAUUAGACAGACUAGUAAUGUACUUACGUGUUGUUCAUUCCGUGGAUUACUACAAUCAUUGCGAGUAUCCGAACGAGGACGAAAUGCCAAAUAGAUGUGGAAUAAUGCAUGUGAGGGGAUCACCGCCUACCGCCAAAAUUUCCAGCGGUGAAUUAUCAGAAUACUGUCGUAAUUUCGAGAACAAGAUGGUUGCUUUCUUACAACCGAUCGCCACUCUGUCUACCGAAGAGUUCGAUAAGCUAGGCGCAAAGAAUGCCGAAGCUGAGGUUGAAAAAUUCGUUCAAGCCAACACCCAAGAAUUGUCAAAGGACAAGUGGCUGUGCCCUCUCAGCGGGAAGAAGUUCAAAGGACCAGAUUUUAUCCGGAAGCAUAUUUUCAACAAGCAUUCCGAAAAGGUUGCUGAAGUGAAAGCGGAAGCUGAGUAUUUCAACAAUUAUUUGAAAGACCCGAAAAGGCCUCAGCUUCCCGAACAUCCUGGUAACAAGGCUCCAUUGAGAGACGGGCCACGCGAGAACUUUGCUCCAUAUGGUUGCAGCUCAUUCGGAAGUUACGGCGGUGGAUACGGUGGUAAUAGAGGUGGUUACGGUGGUUCUGGCUACGGCGGCGGAUUUGGUGGUGGAUUUAGUGGACCGCGUUCCAAUCGUGGCGGUUUUAAUCGAGGACGACGAGGCGUGUAAGAUGCAUUCCUACCACAAGUACAUUCUUGGCCCAUUCGAAAUAACAGACUGAACGUGGUGAUACAAUGUUUUACAGGGCCGCUCCGGAUACUAUGUGGCGGUAGUAGUGAUUUCCGACCAGUCAUACAUUAUCGAGAUCUUGAUGCACCGCGAGAACCAGACGAAUUCCUAUAAG